rnacentral:rRNA from 1 species
GCCUACGGGAGGCAGCAGUGAGGAAUAUUGGUCAAUGGGCGGGAGCCUGAACCAGCCAAGCCGCGUGGGGGAAGAAGGUACAGCGUAUCGUAAACCUCUUUUGUCAGGGAACAAAGGCGGGGACUAGUCCCCGGAUGAGGGUACCUGAAGAAAAAGCAUCGGCUAACUCCGUGCCAGCAGCCGCGGUAAUACGGAGGAUGCGAGCGUUAUCCGGAUUUAUUGGGUUUAAAGGGUGCGCACGCGGCCUGUUAAGUCAGCGGUAAAAGCCCGGGGCUCAACCCCGGCCAGCCGUUGAAACUGGCGGG